rnacentral:rRNA from 1 species
CUACGGGUGGCUGCAGUGGGGAAUAUUGCACAAUGGAGGAAACUCUGAUGCAGCAACGCCGCGUGGAGGAUGACACUUUUCGGAGCGUAAACUCCUUUUAUAUAGGAAGAAGAUGACGGUACUAUAUGAAUAAGCGCCGGCUAACUCCGUGCCAGCAGCCGCGGUAAUACGGAGGGCGCAAGCGUUACUCGGAAUCACUGGGCGUAAAGAGCGUGUAGGCGGAUUAAAAAGUCAGAAGUUAAAUCCUAUAGCUUAACUAUAGAACUGCUUCUGAAACUCUUAAUCUAGAAUGUGGGAGAGGUAGAUGGAAUUUCUGGUGUAGGGGUAAAAUCCGUAGAGAUCAGAAGGAAUACCGAUUGCGAAGGCGAUCUACUAGAACAUUAUUGACGCUGAGACGCGAAAGCGUGGGGAGCAAACAGGAUUAGAUACCCCUGUAGUC